rnacentral:rRNA from 1 species
AACCCUUGUCCUUAGUUACCAGCACGUUAUGGUGGGCACUCUAAGGAGACUGACCGGUGACAAACCGGAGGAAGGUGGGGAUGACGUCAAGUCAUCAUGGCCCUUACGGCCUGGGCUACACACGUGCUACAAUGGUCGGUACAAAGGGUUGCCAAGCCGCGAGGUGGAGCUAAUCCCAUAAAACCGAUCGUAGUCCGGAUCGCAGUCUGCAACUCGACUGCGUGAAGUCGGAAUCGCUAGUAAUCGUGAAUCAGAAUGUCACGGUGAAUACGUUCCCGGGCCUU